rnacentral:rRNA from 1 species
CCUGGCUACAGAACGAACGCUGGCGGCGUAGCUUAAUACAUGCAAGUCGAACGUGAUUCCCGACUCGGUUGGGAUGAAAGUGGCGAACGGGUGAGUAACACGUAAGUAAUCUGCCUUCAAGUUUGGGAUAACCCUGCCAACGCGGGGCUAAUACCGGAUGUGGUCCAGCAGACCCAUGUUUGCGGAUUAAAGGUCGCGAGACCGCUUGGAGAUGAGCUUGCGGCCCAUUAGCUAGUUGGUGAGGUAACGGCCCACCAAGGGCAGGGAUGGGUAGCCGGCCUGAGAGGGUGUACGGCCACAUUGGGACUGAGAUACGGCCCAGACUCCUACGGGGGGCAGCAGUGGGGAAUAUUGCGCAAUGGGGGAAACCCUGACGCAGCGACGCCCGCGUGAGCGAAGAAGGCCUUCGGGUUGUAAAGCUCUGUUGUAAGGGACGAAUGUCUAGGGUAGUAACUGACCUUAGAAUGACGGUACCUUACCAGCAAGCCCCGGCUAACUACGUGCCAGCCGCCGC